CACACACGGCCGCGGGGGAAGGCUGGCAGCAGAGAGGCCACACUGCACAGACCCUUCAGCUCUCCAGACAUUCCCUUCUCCUUCUCCAGGACCUCAGAGCUUCCACCUUUUCUUAGAAAACAACUGAAUCGGCUGAACAAGAUAUUCCUUCUUUACUUCUUCAUUCUGGAUGUACUCUUUCUGAAGCCAUCAAAGCACAACUGAAUAUUUACCCCUCAAGAUGGUGAAUAAAGUUGCUCAUCACUGCUACAGUAUCAGACACCUGCCUUAUACCCCGUGUCCCGUGGGAUGGGAAUAUAAGAAAGGAAGCAUCUAGGAGAGAAGAGCUGUUCUCCACAGUUUAGUCCUUCGGGUUCUCAGAUUUAAGCACAACACCAACUCUAAGUCUGCCCAAACAGCCAUUUCUGUGAGAACUCCUUCAGCCAGCACUCAGCAAUGCACCUGACAUUGGCUGGGACAUUCCACAACACAGCUCUUCUAUUCCCCUGUCACUGAGCAUCUCCAGACCAUCUCCCUCCACCUAAAGCAGAAGC